GUCAACUACCUAAGACAUUUUUAAUUAGCGAAUUCAAUGAAGCUCAACCACGACAGACCUCACCCUACCGGCCAACCCCUUUUGUUCCUCCUUCAUCACUACUAAAGCUUCGAGAGAUCAGCCAUCGUGAGACCAUCAGAUCUCGCUAAAAAAAUUUGACCACGCCGGCACCCAUGGACAAAACGCCGGCGAACCUCUGCCGGCAUGUGAAAGGUUCGAAAGCCUUCAUAUUUGUCAUUUUUUUGCCUAAUAGGACUACAAUAACUCCAGCAAUUGUUGUUGGAAACCUUCAGAUUUCUCGAAAAGAGGAAGCAUGAAAUUCUUUUCGAACACAUAGUGUUUUUCACAAUUCUAUUUUUUACUGAAAUUCACAAGUUUUACAAAUUAAUUGUAAAUAUCAAACCCAUUUAAUAAAAAAAAAGUUACCUACUUCCAAAAGAUAAUAUAAAUCUCCGAUGACCGGAAAAUUACUCAUUA